rnacentral:lncRNA from 1 species
GGACUUAAAAAAUUAAAAUAUGGAAAUGUAUGAUGAAUGUACUUAUAACGGUGUUUAAUUGUCAAAAAAAAAUUAUGACAAUUUUUUUUAAUUUUCAAGUUGUUAAAAAACAUGUAGACGGGUGAAAAAAGUGUAAUGGUAAAAAAAAAAGAUAAACGGGUUAAAAAGGAUAAAUGGUUAAACGGGUAUUAAACGGUUACGGUUAAAUGGGUAUGCAGUUAUGGGUAUGGUUAACCGUUUAUAAACGGUUAUGGGUAUGGGUAUAACCGUUUAGGCAAUUACCCAACGAAUAAACGGUUAUGCGGGUAUGAACAUAAACGGUUAUGGAUAAAUUAACCGCGGUUACCCGCCCGCAUAACCAUUGCCCAUCCCUAUCAACGAUAUAAGCAUGCAGGACUUUUUAAUCCUAACGUAUAAUGGAAGAUUUGAUUUUGCAUACUAAUAUUUCUCACCUACCAUUCAUGCAGGACUUUUUAAUCCUAUCGUAUAAUGGAAGAUUUGAUUUUGCAUACUAAUAUUUCUCACCUACCAUUCAUUUUGUUGUGAGGAGAAGGCAAAAGAUAUGAGACCAAUAAUUUAACAAUAAGUAAUACAAAGGUUCAUAGUUAGUACUGGUUAUGUCUAAAGCUUAUGUCUUGUUCAAAAACAACGUGGAAAUUCCAUUACUAAAAGUGUUUAAGCUCUCACAAUCUAAAUUCCAAAUAUACCCAUAUCACUUUCGCACACAAAUGAGAAGCAACUCGUAACUAGAAGAGCCAACAAUAACAUAGGAGCAGAAAUUUACAGAACUCUUCUUGUUACUCCCUAACACAUCACUAGCACACCAAAUACAAAAGUAAAUGACAGAGGAGAACUAAUGGGUAGUGCCCUCCAAGCCAAAAGAGAGGUAUCCAUUGUGGAGUACAAAAUAACCGAGAUAAAUAUGGAGGCGACACGUGGAUUCUAGGGUUAAAAAGAUAAAAUUACCCUCGAGGCACACCGAAGCUUCUACACCUAAGCGGUGGGACAAUCAUGGCUCAAUUAAGCUCAAAAGUGAUCAAAAUAAGUAUUUAUCCAAAACCCAUUUCAUCCAUCCUCAUCAAAUCUUCCUCACAAUGUAACUCCCAAAUUAUUUCUUCCAAAUUCUAUCAAUUAGCUAAUUAAUUGAUUUAUCACUCAAUUAAUUUAUUA